rnacentral:lncRNA from 1 species
UCUCUUCCACAAAAUGAAAAUUUCUAACACCGCAAAUGACCUGUGGUGGAGACCAUGAUAUUUGUGUGCCUUUCGCUUGAAUUCAGACAUGGACUAGAUCUCUUUAAUAUGAGAUUGUUGAUGAAUGGAGGUCAUGGAUUUCUAAUCAUCAAGUUGCUGGUAAACCCACCAUCUCCAUUACAAUUUCUUUUUUGCUGCUACUACAGCCUUAACUCGAGAGCUCAGUCCUAAAAUUGAGUUGAGAACUAAAACUAAUUGGUUCCAUACUACAAUGCCUAAGAAUCUUUAUCUAUUUUUAUUUUUGUGCGCAAUGACCUUUCAAAAUGCUAUCAUUUCUCUUGUAGGUACUUGCAAGGAUAUGACUACAACUUCACCUUUCUAACCAUAAAGGUAUAAGCAAUUCAUUUUUGCUUAGUUAUUAUAAUUUUAAUAAUAAUGAAACUAAUGAUUAUAAACCAGUGUGCUUUAAUUGAGACUUGAUUUAACAAUUAUACUACACUAUAAAUGCAGGGCGCAGGAUAGACAGUCCCAGAAUACAAGGUAAGAGAAUCACUAGACUUCUACAGCUGUUGGUUGGAUGAAAUGUCACUAAAAUUAUAAACUGAAAAUUUUAUGGGAAUUGAGGGAAAAGCAAACGUCCUCUUUGUCAAUAUGGUAUAUAACGGAUAUAUUUUAGUGUUGGACCACCAUUUGAGUUAUUUAUACGGUGCAUUUUGCGAUACAUUUGUGUGGUGUUAUGAAUGUGAAACACAUUGUUUCUUACUGUUUGAGAUGUUAGUCAAGUUAGGCAAGAAAAGUUGUUUGGGUUGUUUCUUUUCUCCUUUCAGCAGUAUAUAAUGAGUCAUUUUAUGUUUUUACCACUUUCUAAACCUUGUAAUAUACUUUUUCUUUUUGCUUGAUGCAUCUUUGUUGAAGUUUUUGUGAUUCUGCAUCCAUGGGAAAUGGUUUGUUAGAGAAGGUGGGUUUGACAGGGUACAUAUUGAGAGGUAGGAAACCGAUUGCAAAAUGAUUCAGAACCCAAGAAUCUAUAUCAGUUGUUGUUUACUUUACAAAAUUGAAUAAACUAUGGGAUAAACUUGGUGCUUUAAAGCAUCAUCUAACUAUUUGUGAAUGUGGUGCUUCUGAAGUAUAGCUUGAGAGAGAAAGAGAGAAUGAGAAUAAACUGAUGGCAAUUUUUAAUGAGUUGUUUGACCAUAUAAGAAAUCAAAUCUUGAUUUUGGAUCUGUUACCAACACUCAAUAAAGUCUAUAAAUCUAUAUGCAGCCACUGAGUGUGUUAAUGGACAAGCAACUGCAAUUGGUCCUACUAGCGAUUGGAAUGCUAAUUUAGCUUCAGCAAUUUAACAGGACUUUUUGUCCAAAUGUAUUUAUGAACAAGUUUAUAAAAGGCAGGUUAGCUCUAUAUAUAACACAAGUAUAAUCUUGCAAUAUACUUCAUAAAAUUUUCUUUGAGCUGUUAUUUACACUCCACCUGCAGUAGGUAUCAAGUCUUAAAUUAGUUAGAUAUUCAAUAAAAAGACAUUAUUCUCUACAUAAUAUGCUUCUUAAAACAAAAUUUGAUUCAAUUUAUUUUAACACCAUAAUUCUUUAUUUUUCUCUUUUUCCUUUCUUUUUUAUUAUUUUCUCUCAUUUUGUACCAUUUACUCUUUUUUUUUUUUUAAUUUUCAUUUUCUAUUUAUUUCUAAUAAAUAUUGGAUAUAAAUUAAAAAUUUAGUAACAAUAAUAAUAUAAUUUUAAGUCUUAUUAAAUUAAUAAAAAAAUAUUUAAAUUGUCAAUAGAUUUACUAAUGGAUUGCAAUUUGUUGAUAAUUUAUUGAUGGAUUUCACAUUUGUUAAUAAAUUAUUUUUCUUUUAUACUAACAGAUUUAAAAUUUGUUAGUAAUUUAAAAUCUGUUGGUAAUAAUAACAAAAUUUUAUUAGUAAAUUCAUUAAUAUUACUAACAAUUUAAAAGUCGUUGGUAAAAAUUAAUCACCGAGUUUUUUAACAACAGAUCGUAAUCUGUUAAUAAUUCAUUGUUAAUUCAUUUAUCAAUGGAUUUUUAUUGAAUUGCCAAUGGAAAUGGAAAAAUCACUGCACUAUCAAUACAAAUUAAGAAGUUGUUGAUUCUUAUCUUUACAAUAAGAUAUCUUUUAAACUCUUAAGACUUUAAAGCUAAAAUUGAAGAAAUAUUCAUGAUGUUGUAUUUUACUGUUAUAACACUUUGGAAUGAUGUCUAUUAUUGGAAUGCAUAUGAUUGUUUUACUGAUAUAAAAUAAGUACAAAGAAUAUAUAGUUAAAAAAAUAAUUAUAGUUAGCGAUCCAUUUGUAUUAUUUAAUUUUACUAUCCGUUUAUAAAUUCAUUUGUAUUCAUUUAAUUUUAAUUUUAUAUCGAUAAAUUAUAAGAGAUGAAGAGUUCUCCUUUCCUAUAAAAUGAGAAGCCCUUUCCUAUAAAAUGAGAAGUCCUUUGUACGAGAUUUUUAUCAUAUUAUGAUAUUCUUAUAUGGGGUUACGAGGAAAUUUAAAUAUUUUAAUUUAAAAUAUUUUAUUUUAAAUUAUUUCUAAGUUCUAACUAAUAAUCGAACUUGAAUACAAGCUCACAACGAGCCACGCUCGAAUCAAGUUCAAGUUUGUUAAAUAUUUCACAAAUUAAAUUUGAACUUUAAAUUUUUUUAAUAACAAGUUUGAACUUUAGAAAUGUUGGCUCGACUUGUUUGUAUCAUUAAUAGAUUUAUAAAUAGAUCAGUUAUUUGUAUUAUUAAUGGAUUUAUAAAUAGAUAAAUCAUUUGUGAAUCCAUUAAUAGAUGAAUUAUUUGUAUCAUUAAUGGAUUUAUAAAUAGAUAAAUCAUUUGAAUUACAAAUAGAUUAAUGGUUUGUAUCACAAAUGAAUUUAUAAAGUUUGUAUUAUAAAUGAAUUUACAAAUAGAUUAUCUAUUUAAAUGUGAAAUUUCAUUUGUAAAUGCUAGAGAAUAUGCAAAUGAAAAAUAAAUUUAUUUAUAUUAUAAAUGAUUAUUCUGUUGUGAAUCCAUUUAUAACAUAAACGAAUUAUUUUUUAUUUGAAAAAAAUUAUAAAUAAUAUUUACACAAAUAGAAAAAAAUCUAUUUAUGAUUCAUUUAUAAAUUUAAUUUUUUUUAUUGUGAUAGAGGUUUAGUAGGUUGUAGAGAGUAGAGCUCACAGCAGUCUCACUCUCCUAUAGCCAUUCGAAGAUUGGAGUCAUAUCAGUGGCGUUAAUAGCAUUAUGAUAUGUCACUUCCCUAUAAAACUUGAACCCAUCCUAAAAAAAGAAUACAUGCAAGCAAACCACAGCCCCCGGAAGAGUGAUAUCACAUCUAUGAGUUGGCCUAAAGCAAGACUGAUUUUUAAAAUACUCUCACCAUGAAGCUCCAAAUCUAGAACUACAAAAGCAAAAAUAGAAAAACACAAUAUUUUCACCCCAGCCCUAGAGACAAGGAGAGUAAACCCAGCAAAAAUAGAAAAACACAAUGUUUUCACCACAGCCCUAGAGACAAGGAGAGUAAACCCAUAUCCAAGGCUCGAGGAAGCCAUCCCUCACUUAAAAGGGAUAGGGAAAGGCUGCAGUACUAACCACUAGUAGAGAAACAAGGUUUGCCCUCAGAAGUAAACAGGUAGACAUAAAAGGUUUAUUAUAAUCUAAUAAUUUGAUUGGUUAUUUAAAAUAUUUAGUUUGAUUGGUUAAUUAUAUUAGUUUUCUAUUAAAAUUUAAACCAAAAUUUUAUUAUAAUCUAAUAUAAAAAACUAACUAAAAUUUAAAACUUCCAACUUAAAAGAUCAUCAAAAGUAUGAAUAUUUUAAAUGCUGAAUAUUUAAGUUUGUGGCUAAAAUUUUUGGAAUAAAUAAUUCAUACUAAUAAUUUUUAGCAAUAAACAUUUAAUAAAAAUAUUAAAUUUUUUAUAAUUUUAUAUUUUUAAAAUUAGAUUCACACAGUAAUUUAAUUUUCUAAUUUAACAUUUAUUAUGUAAUCUUAUAAAUAAAAUGUUUACAAUUUUAAUUUUUAUGAAAUUUUGUACAUAAAUAUAUUCAUACUUUAAAAUUUUUUUUAUAAUUUAUAAUACAAUAUACUGUAUAUUAAAUGCAUAGAAAUAAUUUAAUUAUUAUAAAUUUAAGUUAAUAUUAUUAAUAAUUAAUUAAAAUAACAAAUACAAAUUUAAAAUGCAAAAUAUAUUUAGUGAGUUUAACAUUUCAAAAUUUUAUUAUUUUGAAAUAACUUUAUAUAUUAAUUUUUUACUGAUUUCAAUUAAAAUUGUAAUAUUAUUCAAAUAAAAUGUCAAAAUAAAAAUGUGCCAAACAGUGCUCAUGAGAGUUAAGCUUUUUUAUAUUAUACUAAAAUAAAGUAAUUAAUAAUAAAAAAUAUAUUAGAGUAAAAUUAAACAAUAAACUAUUUAUUUUUUCCUCAUCUAUAUUAUAUAGAAUUAGACUAUAAUAAUAUUUUUAAAAAUAUACAUUGAUAAUUAUUUAUUAAAUAAGGAAUAUUAUUUAAUAAAAUAAAAAAUCAAUAUUCUACAAUUAUAUUUAUAAUAUUUUAUUUAAAAAAAUAAAAUUAACAAAAUUAAUUAAUUUUUAACUAAAUUUAAUUAAAUAUAAGGUACGGUUAUAAUAAUUUAAUAUCAUAAUAAUGUAAAAGAAAAUUUAUUUAGUUAUUCAAAAUGAUGUAUAAUUUUAAUAUGAUAUUGUAUACAAAAAUUCAUUUUUAUUUAGAGUCAAAUAAAUUCAAUUUAAAAUUUUAGGUUAAUUAAACUAUGUAAUUUUAUUGAGAGCUAAAUAGAUUCUAACUUAAUAUUAUUUUUUAAUUAUAAAAUAUUAUUUUUAUAAUUUAAAACAUUAAAAAUUUAGUAGUUUAAUUAUCAUAAAAAAAUUUAAAAAAUAUAUAAAUAUAAUAAAUAAUUUUUAAAAUUAUAAAAAUAAAGUUUCAUCAUAUAAAAAAUAAUUUUAUUAUUAAAAAAUAAUAUUAUGUUAAAUUAUAACUUAAUUGAUUCAAAAUUUUGAAUUAAAAUUAUUUGACCCUUAAAUAAAGGUAAAGACUUAAUUGAAUUUAUAUUUAAAAAAUUAUUAAUAUAAAAUGAUAAAUUUAAUUUGUUAUUAAAUAAUAUUUUUAUAUGAAAAAUUAAUAAAAAAAAAUUACAAAAUAUGGUGCAUAUAAACAGCUAGUAAUGCAUUUCCUUUCCCAAUUUCCUUUUGUCAUCCUUACCAGCACUUUACCAGCUGGCAGAGAGCCUUCCUUUUCCGAUUCUCUAUUUCCUUUCCUCAUUCCCAAUCUCCGAUCCAUCCCUAAAAACAACUGACGAGAGAUCGAUGAUGAUGAAGAUGCCUUGGAGGAGGAAGAGCAGGAGCUUCAAUCUUCAGCUACAAGGGGCAAUUGGUACCAUUCAAUCUCCAUUCCUAUUCUUAUUUACCAAUUAUUGCCAUUCUUCUACUUCCACACUUGAAGAUGCACGCUUCUUCACAAAUAACUUCAAAUCUGCUUCUUUUACCCGCCUUGAUGAUGCCAUUGCUUCCUUUAAUCAUGUAAUUCAUAUGCAUCCUCUGCCUUGUAGGGCUCCAUUUAAUAGAUUCUUUUCGGCCCUUGUGAAAAUGAAACAAUAUCAUACUGUCCUUUCCAUGUCUAAAACAAUUGAAUUGCUAGGAAUCUCUCACAAUGUUUGUUCUCUUAACAUCUUAAUUAAUUGCUUCUGCCGUUUACAUCUUGUGGAUUUUGGCUUCUCUGUUUUCGGCAAGAUGUUCAAAUUCGGAUUGGAGCCUACCGCUGUGACAUUUAAUACCUUAAUUAAUGGGCUUUGUAUGGACAGUAAAAUCGAUAAAGCAGUGGAAUGUUUCGAUGAUAUGGUUGCACGUGGUUAUCAACCUAAUGUUCGUACUUUCAAUGUGAUAGUAAACGGAAUGUGUAAAUUUGGGAAAACAAAUGUGGCUAUUGGGCUACUAAAGGGAAUGGCUGAUAGAGGUUGUGAGCCAAAUGUUGUGACAUACACUGCAAUCAUUGACGCACUUUGCAAGGAUGAGCUAGUUGAUGAGGCUUUAGAGCUCUUCUCUCAAAUGAGGAAUAAGGGCAUUUCACCUGAUGUCAUCACUUACACUGGUUUAAUUCAUGGUGUUUGCAAAUUAGGCCAAAAGAACCAAGCUUUGGCCUUGAUGAAUGAAAUGGUGCAGCAGAACAUAUUACCAAAUGUUUAUACCUUCAAUGUAUUGAUUGAUGCUCUUUGUAAGGAUGGAAUGGUUUCAGAGGCUCAAAAUACAUUCAAUGUAAUGAUUCAAAGAGGUGUAGAGCCUGAUGUGGUCACCUACAAUUCCUUAAUUGAUGGUCUUUGCAUUUCAGACCAAUUCAAGGAAGCUUUGGCCUUGUUGAAAGAAAUGGUGGGGAGGAACAUAUCCCCUAGUGUUUUUACCUUAAAUAUAUUGAUCGACACUCUUUGUAAGAAAGGACUGGUUUCAAAUGCAGAGAAUAUAAUCAAAAUAAUGAUUCAAAGAGGUGUGGAACCUGAUGUUGUCACUUAUAAUUCCUUGAUGGAUGGAUAUUGUCUGUGCAAGCAAAUUGAUAAGGCUAGAAAGGUAUUUGAUCUGAUGGUGACCAAUGAAAUAGCUGACAUUUUUAGCUACAGCAUUUUGAUCAAUGGAUAUUGUAAGUGCAAAAUGAUAGAUGAUGCAAAGGAUAUUUUUGUGGAAAUGUCUCAUAAAGGUUUAGUUCCUAAUGCUGUUACUUAUUCUACUCUUAUAAAGGGUAUGUUUGAAGCAGGGAGGCCCCAAACUGCACAGGAGCUCUUUAAGAAUAUGUGCUCUCAUGGUCAACAGCCAAAUAUAGUAACCUUCUCAAUUAUGAUUGCUGGCUUGUGUAGACAGGGGAAUCUCGAUGAGGCACUCACACUAUUGAAAGCAAUGGAGAAAAGUCAGCUGAAGCCUAAUUUUGUGAUCUAUAGCAGUAUGAUCAAUGGUAUGUGCAAAGUUGGGAAGAUUAGUGAUGCCAAGGAACUUUUUUCUAGUCUUUUUGAAAUUGGUUUACAACCUGAUGUUUAUGUAUAUAGUGCAAUUAUGAAAGGACUCUGCCAACAAGGAUUAAUGGAUGAAGCGUAUAAGGUAUUUAAAGACAUGGAAAAGGUAGGAUGUUUACCAAAUAAUUGUUGUUAUAAUAUCAUCAUUCAAGGGUUUCUCAAGCAUGAGGAUUUACCAAAAGCAUCAGAACUAAUCAACGAAAUGGUUGAUAAUGAUCUCAUUCUGAGGCUUUUAAAGGUGGGCAAUGAGGGAUCAGCAAACUAAAGUUGUUAUAUCUUGACCAUUCAAGUGUGUCUUGGAGCGCAACUUGAUAAUUACCUUUUUCAAAUAUAAUAGAUAUGUAAUUUAACUAACUUCUUCAAAUAUCAUUUUUAAUUUCAAUCAGCUGUGAUUCUCUUUCACAAAAUGAAAAUUUCUAACACUGCAAAUGACCUGUGGUGGAAACCAUGAUAUGUGUGUGCCUUUCGCUUGAAUUCAGACAUGGACUUGAUCUCUUUGAUAUAAGAUUGUUGAUGAAUGGAGGUCAUGGAUUUCUAAUGAUCAAGUUGCUGGUAAACCCACCAUCUCCUUUACAAUUUUUUUUGGCUGCUACUACAGCCUUAACUCGAGAGCUCAGUCCUAAAAUUGAGUUGAGAACUAAAACUAAUUGGUUCCAUACUACAAUGCUUAAGAAUCUUUAUCUAUUUUUAUUUUGUGCUGAAUGACGUUUUAAAAUGCUAUCAUUUCUCUUGUAGGUACUUGCAAUGAUAUGAUUACAACUUC